GAUGAAGAACGUAGUGAAUUGCGAUAUGUAAUGUGAAUUGCAGAAUUCAGUGAAUCAUCGAAUCUUUGAACGCACAUUGCACCCUCUGGUAAUCCAGAGGGUAUGCCUGUUUGAGUGUCAUUAGCAACAUCAAAUCACAGAUUUUGCUCUGUGAUUUGGACUUUGAAGGCAUUGCUGACUGUUAAAGUCAGCUCCUUUUAAAUGCAUUAGCAGGUUGCAAACAACUGGCCCCAGUUUGAUAGACUUCAUCAUCUGUGCUGUCGCUAGUAGUUUUGACCGCUGCCAAUUGUCUUUGGACUUGCCAUCAGGCAAUACAUUUAAGUCUUGACCUCAAAUCAGGUGGGAUUACCCGCUGAACUUAAGCAUAUCAAUAAGCGGAGGA
rnacentral:misc_RNA from 1 species